UGUCAUAAAAUCACCAACUGUAUAUGUCCCAGUUCUCGCCGAGCCGUUGUUGGUUACGGUUGAUAACGCAGAAACAGCAAGCCGGUGGGGUGCAGAAAAACGCUGGGAGAAGCACAAACGAUUUCGUUUGGGCAUAGAAGUUGCAGGAAACAGAGGAAGAAAUGGAGAGCAAUGAUAAUUAAAGGGGGAGUGAGGAAGAAGAGAAACUGUAAAAGUGGUUAAAGACAUGGAUGAGGCCAUGAAGGACAAAGAAGAAGAUGAAGAAGAAGAA
rnacentral:misc_RNA from 1 species